GACGAACGCUGGCGGCGUGCUUAACACAUGCAAGUCGAGCGGUAAGGCCCUUCGGGGUACGACGAGCGGCGAACGGGUGAGUAACACGUGGGUGACCUGCCUCUAGCUCUGGGAUAAGCCUGGGAAACUGGGUCUAAUACCGGAUAUGACUCCACGGCGCAUGUUGUGGGGUGGAAAGCCUUGUGUGGCUAGAGAUGGGCCCGCGGCCUAUCAGCUUGUUGGUGGGGUGAUGGCCACCAAGGCGACGACGGGUAGCCGGCCUGAGAGGGCGACCGGCCACACUGGGACUGAGACACGGCCCAGACUCCUACGGGAGGCAGCAGUGGGGAAUCUUGCGCAAUGGGCGAAAGCCUGACGCAGCGACGCCGCGUGAGGGAUGACGGCCU
rnacentral:rRNA from 1 species